GCCUUCGUGGUGUAGUGGUCUGCACCGCUCGACUCAUAACCAAGAGGUCCGUGGUUCGAUUCCCGGCGAAGGCG
rnacentral:tRNA from 1 species